rnacentral:rRNA from 1 species
AGGACGAACGCUGGCGGCGUGCUUAACACAUGCAAGUCGAGCGGAAAGGCCCUUCGGGGUACUCGAGCGGCGAACGGGUGAGUAACACGUGAGCAACCUGCCCUUAGCUUCGGGAUAGCUCCGGGAAACCGGAAUUAAUACCGAAUAUGACUUUGGCUGACAUCAGCAGAAGUGGAAAGUUUUUCGGCUAGGGAUGGACUCGCGGCCUAUCAGCUAGUUGGUGAGGUAACGGCCCACCAAGGCGACGACGGGUAGCCGGCCUGAGAGGGCGACCGGCCACACUGGGACUGAGACACGGCCCAGACUCCUACGGGAGGCAGCAGUGGGGAAUAUUGCGCAAUGGGCGAAAGCCUGACGCAGCGACGCCGCGUGGGGGAUGAAUGCCUUCGGGUUGUAAACCCUUUCAGCAGGGACGAAGCGAAAGUGACGGUACCUGCAGAAGAAGCGCCGCUAACUACGUGCCAGCAGCCGC